UAAUCUGCAAGCAAAAUGAAAAAAGGAAAAGUUACAGUAUGUUCUAAAAUAAAGUGUAGAAUACUGUGUCGCACAAGAUCACAUUUUCAGAGGUUAUAUGUUUGCAGAUGAUAUGAGACAUUUCAAUAUACAAGGUCAAGAAUGCCAGUUUCAAAGUUUCAUGUCAGAAGUGAAAGCAGCUUCCGGGAGAAUUACAAGUCUGCAACUGCAAUUGCAGCCGCAUCAGUUGCGUUUUGCCACAAUACCAAGGAUCGCAAAAUAACUGCAACUGCAAUCUAGAAAACUGCUAUCUUCUAUGGACAUUGUCAAUGACUCAUUUGGUUAAUUACGUAUAAAAAUAUUUACAAUAUCCUGUGUUGUAAUUCUUCCAUAAAACUAGAACAUUUGAAAAUUAUAUUUUGACAAACAUGUGGUCAAUUCUCGCAGUCAACAUGUUGCUAAUUUGAAUCUAGACAACAUUGAUAGCUUUGUCCCUUUGCAACUAUAAGUCCUCCUAUUGCCAAUCAUUUUAUCUCUUGGUUUAUAAUAAAUGAUGAAUGGAUUUUUAUCUUACUUUUCUUCCA